UACGAAGGGGGCUAGCGUUGUUCGGAAUUACUGGGCGUAAAGCGUGCGCAGGCGGUGAGCUGUGUCCGAUGUGAAAGCCCCGGGCUUAACCUGGGAAUGGCAUUGGAAACUGGCUCGCUGGAGUGUGGCAGAGGGGGGUGGAAUUCCGCGUGUAGCAGUGAAAUGCGUAGAGAUGCGGAGGAACACCGAUGGCGAAGGCAGCCCCCCUGGGCUAACACUGACGCUCAGGCACGAAAGCGUGGGGAGCAAACAGG
rnacentral:rRNA from 1 species